UCGGGAAUUUUGGGCAAUGGGCGAAAGCCUGACCCAGCAACGCCGCGUGAGGGAUGAAGGCCUUCGGGUCGUAAACCUCUUUUCUCAGGGACGAUGAUGACGUACCUGAGGAAUAAGCCACGGCUAACUACGUG
rnacentral:rRNA from 1 species